rnacentral:rRNA from 1 species
UACGAACUGUGCGAACGUUAUUCGGAAUCACUGGGCUUACAGGGUGCGUAGGCGGCUUGUUAAGUAGGGUGUGAAAGCCCCCGGCUCAACCGGGGAAUUGCGCCCUAAACUGGCGAGCUGGAGUGAGAUAGGGGUGUGUGGAACUUCCGGUGGAGCGGUGAAAUGUGUUGAUAUCGGAAGGAACGCCGGUGGCGAAAGCGACACACUGGAUCUUGUCUGACGCUGGAGGCACGAAAGCCAGGGGAGCGAACGGG